AUAUACUGCGUCUUCUGACGCUAUCAACUAAAAAAAAAAAGUUGUUCUUAUCAGUUUAAUAUCUGAUACGUCCCCUAUCUGGGGACCAUAUAUUAAAUGGAUUUUUCGAAUAGGGAGAUGGAAAAAGAGCUUGCUCUGUCCAUUCCACGCAUUGACCUGGUAUUGCAGUACCUCCAGGACCGGUGCACCCUUU